rnacentral:rRNA from 1 species
UACGUAGGGUGCGAGCGUUGUCCGGAAUUAUUGGGCGUAAAGAGCUUGUAGGCGGUUUGUCGCGUCUGCUGUGAAAUCUCAAGGCUCAACCUUGAGCUUGCAGUGGGUACGGGCAGACUAGAGUGUGGUAGGGGAGACUGGAAUUCCUGGUGUAGCGGUGGAAUGCGCAGAUAUCAGGAGGAACACCGGUGGCGAAGGCGGGUCACUGGUCCGGUACUGACGCUGAGGUGCGAAAGCGUGGGGAGCAAACAGG